rnacentral:tRNA from 1 species
GCAGUGGUGGUUUAGUGGUAGAAUUCUUGCCUUCCAUGUGAGAGACCCAGGUUCAAUUCAUAGCCAGUGCU